CCUACGGGUGGCAGCAGUGAGGAAUAUUGCUCAAUGGGCGCGAGCCUGAACCAGCCACGUCGCGUGAAGGAUGACUGCCCUACGGGUUGUAAACUCCUUUUAUAAAGGAAUAAAGUGAGGCACGUGUGCCUUUUUGUAUGUACUUUAUGAAUAAGGAUAGGCUAACUCCGUACCAGCAGCCGCGGUAAUACGGAGGAUCCGAGAGUUAUCCGGAUUUAUUGGGUUUAAAGGGAGCGUAGAUGGGUUGUUAAGUCAGUUGUGAAAGUUUGCGGCUCAACCGUACAAUUGCAAUUGAUACUGGCAGUCUUGAGUACAGUUGAGGUAGGCGGAAUUCGUGGUGUAGCGGUGAAAUGCUUAGAUAUCACGAAGAACUCCGAUGGCGAAGGCAGCUUACUGGACUGCCACUGACAUUGAGGCGCGAAAGUGUGGGUAUCAAACAGGAUUAGAUACCCGAGUAGUC
rnacentral:rRNA from 1 species